CCAUAUUUACUUUCUUUCUUAGCCAACAAAACCUUGAUAAGGUCAUCUCUUGGCCGACCACCUUUAGGAGCCAUUACCAAAGGAGAAACAUGAUGACGAGAGGAAACUUUUUCAAUCAGAUUUCGUAAGGCUGCUGAUUCGAACAGAGUUUAUUCUUCCUUUAUUUAUUACUUUGAUUUAAAUCAUGUUUUGCAAUGUGCUUUGUUAUAUUGCCAUAAAAAAUGGUAGUUUAAAUCUAUUUAGCUAGGAUGAUUGCCUCAAUUCAAUGAAGUUUGUUUAAAUCAUAUUUAUAGUGUUUGUG
rnacentral:lncRNA from 1 species